UACGUAGGGUGCAAGCGUUAAUCGGAAUUACUGGGCGUAAAGCGUGCGCAGGCGGUUUUGUAAGUUUGUCGUGAAAGCCCCGGGCUCAACCUGGGAAUUGCGAUGAAGACUGCAAGGCUAGAGUGUGUCAGAGGGGGGUAGAAUUCCACGUGUAGCAGUGAAAUGCGUAGAUAUGUGGAGGAACACCGAUGGCGAAGGCAGCCCCCUGGGAUAACACUGACGCUCAUGCACGAAAGCGUGGGGAGCAA
rnacentral:rRNA from 1 species